GACGAACGCUGGCGGCGUGGAUUAGGCAUGCAAGUCGGACGUAGGGCUUUAUCGUAAGAUAGAGUUUGAGAGUGGCGAACGGGUGAGUAACACGUAGGAAUCUACCCUUAAGACGGGGACAACCCAGGGAAACUUGGGCUAAUACCGGAUGAGAGUGCGAGAGAUUGCAUUUAAAAGGAUGGCGAAAGUUGUCGCUUAGGGAUGAGCCUGCGGUCUAUUAGUUAGUUGGUGAGGUAAGAGCUCACCAAGGCGAUGAUAGAUAGGCGGCCUUAACGGGUGGUCGCCCACACUGGGAUUGAGAUACGGCCCAGACUCCUACGGGAGGCAGCGGUCGAGAAUAGUCUACAAUGGCCGGAAGGCUGAUAGUGCGACGCCGCGUGAACGAGGGAGCCCUUCGGGGUGUAAAGCCCUGUUGGGGGGGAAGAUAAUGACGGUACCCCCUGAGGAAGCCCCGGCUAACUACGUG
rnacentral:rRNA from 1 species